rnacentral:tRNA from 1 species
GUUGAGGUGGCAGAGCCCGGACUAAUGCGGAAGGCCUAAGCCCUUUACACAGGGGUUCAAAUCCUCUCCUUAACU